GAGUUUGAUCCUGGCUCAGAUUGAACGCUGGCGGCAUGCCUUACACAUGCAAGUCGAACGGCAGCAUGAUCUAGCUUGCUAGAUUGAUGGCGAGUGGCGAACGGGUGAGUAAUACAUCGGAACGUGCCCUGUAGUGGGGGAUAACUAGUCGAAAGAUUAGCUAAUACCGCAUACGACCUGAGGGUGAAAGUGGGGGACCGCAAGGCCUCAUGCUAUAGGAGCGGCCGAUGUCUGAUUAGCUAGUUGGUGGGGUAAAGGCCCACCAAGGCGACGAUCAGUAGCUGGUCUGAGAGGACGAUCAGCCACACUGGGACUGAGACACGGCCCAGACUCCUACGGGAGGCAGCAGUGGGGAAUUUGGACAAUGGGCGAAAGCCUGAUCCAGCAAUGCCGCGUGUGUGAAGAA
rnacentral:rRNA from 1 species